AGAUACCCUAUUAUAAUAAUGGAUAAAUAAAUUAAAUGUUAAAGUAUUAAAUGAUAUAUCAUUAAAUUUAUGAAAUUUGGCGGUAUUUUAUUCAAGUUAGGGGAACCUGUUGAGUAAUUGAUGAACCACGAUAAGAACUACUUAAUUUAAUACUCGUGUAUUGCUGUUUUUAGAUGUAUUAUAAUUGUAUUUUCAUAAUUUAUAUUAAUAAAAGUAAAGUAAUUCAAGUCAAAAUACGGUUUAGUUAAGAUUAAAUGGGUUACAAUAAUUUAAAAUUAUACGGAUUUUAGAAUUUAAAUUUUUAAAUGAAGGUGGACUUAAAAGUAAAAUUAAUUAAUUAAUUAAUUUGAAGUUUGUUUGAAAUAUGUACACAUCGCC
rnacentral:rRNA from 1 species